CCUACGGGAGGCAGCAGUAGGGAAUUUUCCGCAAUGGGCGAAAGCCUGACGGAGCAAUACCGCGUGAGGGAUGACGGCCUGUGGGUUGUAAACCUCUUUUCUCAAGGAAGAAGUUCUGACGGUACUUGAGGAAUAAGCAUCGGCUAACUCUGUGCCAGCAGCCGCGGUAAUACAGAGGAUGCAAGCGUUAUCCGGAAUCACUGGGCAUAAAGCGUCUGUAGGUUGUUUAGUAAGUCUGCUGUUAAAGACUGGGGCUUAACCCCAGAAAAGCAGUGGAAACUGCUAGACUCGAGUGUGGUAGAGGUAGAGGGAAUUCCUAGUGUAGCGGUGAAAUGCGUAGAUAUUAGGAAGAACACCAAUGGCGAAGGCACUCUACUGGGCCAUAACUGACACUGAGAGACGACAGCUAGGGGAGCAAACGGGAUUAGAUACCCCGGUAGUCCUAGCCGUAAACGAUGGAUACUAGAUGUUGCACGUAUUAACCCGUGCAGUAUCGUAGCUAAGGCGUUAAGUAUCCGCCUGGGAAGUACGCUCGCAAGAGUGAACUCAAUGAAUUGACGGCUGAGACGUCGCCGACGGACGACGACGAGGGAGGUUAGG
rnacentral:rRNA from 1 species